GCCACCAUUAAAGCAGGUCAAUCCACACGGUUACGUGCGAUGGCUGGCAAAAGGAAGAAGAUCUGCUGAUGAGAGGGCUUGUGAAGUACCAAACCAAUCAAGCAAAGAAGAAAUCAAGACCUGCUGGAUCCUUCCUUAACCUCUGCCAUCUCCUAUCCAUAUCUGCCCCUGUUGUGUGAUGAAGGUGGAGACAGACAGCUUGUUUUUGUUGCCUUUCAGGAGACUCCACGUUCCAAACGGUGAAAGCUGCCUUACCCCCAGUAACUGACAGUCCCCUGCACCAGUUCCAGCCAGGACAGUGGGUGCUGAUUAGGGACACCAGGAGACGUCACUGGAGAGACAAACGGUGGAGAGGUCCGUUUCAAAUUCUGCUUCUGGUUCUGAAUCCCCUGCCUAGAGGGGCUUCCAACCACCGAACCCCUGUACCAGACUGGUAACAGGGCAGCUUGAAGCGCAGAAGCCACUCAGGAGAGGCAGCAGGAUUUUUUUUAUUUUGUUUAUGAU